rnacentral:rRNA from 1 species
UUGAUCCUGGCUCAGGACGAACGCUGGCGGCGUGCCUAAUACAUGCAAGUCGAGCGAGCCGAACUAAUUGAUUACCUUCGGGUAUGAAGUUAGGGAAGCGAGCGGCGGAUGGGUGAGUAACACGUGGGUAACCUACCCUAUAGUCUGGGAUACCACUUGGAAACAGGUGCUAAUACCGGAUAAAAGGAGAGAUCACAUGAUUUCUUUUUGAAAGGCGGCGUAAGCUGUCGCUAAAGGAUGGACCCGCGGUGCAUUAGCUAGUUGGUAAGGUAACGGCUUACCAAGGCAACGAUGCAUAGCCGAGUUGAGAGACUGAUCGGCCACAUUGGGACUGAGACACGGCCCAAACUCCUACGGGAGGCAGCAGUAGGGAAUCUUCCACAAUGGACGCAAGUCUGAUGGAGCAACGCCGCGUGAGUGAAGAAGGUUUUCCGGGAUUCGUAAAAGGCUCUUUUUGUUGGGUGAAGAAAGAUUAGUGAAGAGGUAACUGCUCCAUUAUUUGCCCGGUAUUCAACCCAGAAAGUCACGGCUAACUACGUGCCCAGCAGCCGCGGUAAUACGUAGGUGGCAAGCGUUGUCCGGGAUUUAUUGGGCGUAAAGCGAGCGCAGGCGGAAAGAUAAGUCAGAUGUGAAAGCCCUCGGCUUAACCGAGGAAUAGCAUCGGAAACUGUCUUUCUUGAGUGCAGAAGAGGAGAGUGGAACUCCAUGUGUAGCGGUGGAAUGCGUAGAUAUAUGGAAGAACACCAGUGGCGAAGGCGGCUCUCUGGUCUGUAACUGACGCUGAGGCUCGAAAGCAUGGGUAGCGAACAGGAUUAGAUACCCUGGUAGUCCAUGCUGUAAACGAUGAGUGCUAAGUGUUGGGAGGUUUCCGCCUCUCAGUGCUGCAGCUAACGCAUUAAGCACUCCGCCUGGGGAGUACGACCGCAAGGUCAAAACUCAAAGGAAUUGACGGGGGCCCGCACAAGCGGUGGGAGCAUGUGGUUUAAUUCGAAGCAACGCGAAGAACCUUACCAGGUCUUGACAAUCUAGUGCCAACCUAAGAGAGAUUAGGCGUUCCCUUCGGGGGACACACUAAACAGGUGGUGCAUGGCUGUCGUCAGCUCGUGUCGUGAGAUGUUGGGUUAAGUCCCGCAACGAGCGCAACCCUUAUUAUUAGUUGCCAGCAUUAAGUUGGGCACUCUAAUGAGACUGCCGGUGACAAACCGGAGGAAGGUGGGGAUGACGUCAAGUCAUCAUGCCCCUUAUGACCUGGGCUACACACGUGCUACAAUGGGCAGUACAACGAGGAGCGAACUUGUGAAGGCAAGCGAAUCUCUGAAAGCUGUUCUCAGUUCGGACUGUAGGCUGCAACUCGCCUACACGAAGCUGGAAUCGCUAGUAAUCGCGGAUCAGCA